rnacentral:rRNA from 1 species
AUUGAACGCUGGCGGCAGGCUUAACACAUGCAAGUCGAGCGGAGCGAGGGUGCUUGCACCUUAGCUUAGCGGCGGACGGAUGAGUAAUGCUUAGGAAUCUGCCUAUUAGUGGGGGACAACAUUCCGAAAGGAAUGCUAAUACCGCAUACGCCCUACGGGGGAAAGCAGGGGAUCUUCGGACCUUGCGCUAAUAGAUGAGCCUAAGUCGGAUUAGCUAGUUGGUGGGGUAACGGCCUACCAAGGCGACGAUCUGUAGCGGGUCUGAGAGGAUGAUCCGCCACACUGGGACGGAGACACGGCCCAGACUCCUACGGGAGGCAGCAGUGGGGAAUAUUGGACAAUGGGGGGAACCCUGAUCCAGCCAUGCCGCGUGUGUGAAGAAGGCCUUUGGUUGUAAAGCACUUUAAGCGAGGAGGAGGCUACUGGUAUUAAUACUACCGGAUAGUGGACGUUACUCGCAGAAUAAGCACCGGUUAACUCUGUGCCAGCCGCCGCUGUAAUAC